rnacentral:rRNA from 1 species
AUGUCGUCAUCAUCAUUGUCGGCGUUGAGGGAGGCCCACGACACAGGCAGUGUCGGCUGCGGUGCACGCACAACAGAGUCGAUGGCGCUGGCAGGAAGAGCCCGUGUGCCGAGCACGGCUGAAGCAUUUGCAGUUGACAGCGACGUGGAAGUUGAGCGAGGAGACGUCGGGGUUGGGGAUGUCACCGCGCCCAGCGCGGCCGGAGCAGCAGCCGUUGCCGACGGCGACGCAAAUGCCAAGAGAGAGGCAGACGGGGCUGGAGACGCCGCGGCGGCCGCCGUCAACGAAGACGCGGAAGCCGGCUUCGAGCGUGGAGAAGGAGCCAUAGCGGAGGGAGCCCCCGCGGGAGAAGAGCAGCCGCCAAGAGAGGACGGCGAGGGGAUCCUGGAUCUGGUCGCGGUUGCCGAAGGGGAGGUCGGAGGAGGGAGAUCGGGGCAGCCCCGCCGCGCGCGCUCACCCGUCGCUCGCGAGGUCGCCCGCCAUGAUCCCCAAUGCGCGUUUUCCACCUUCUCUCUUUUACAGUGGCCGGUGGUGGCGUCCGUUUUGUCCGUGGGAAAUGUUGAAGUGUUGUCCUUUGAAAACUCAGCAUUGAAGUGGUCCUGCUGCUGCAAACAGGAGAGAGAAAGGGAGCCGGGAGAUGCUCCCAGCAACACGUCAUCGCAGCAUGGCACCACCUUUCACUUCACCCUGUUGCAUGUGAAGCGUGAGCCUCCCUGUCCUCCUCGCUUUUACAUGAAUGAAUUCAUGGCGGCCUUGCUUGUGCUUGGUUGCCUCGAGGGAUGGCGAUAUGCCUCGCUUCGGAAAGGAGCAGAUAGGGAUGGUGGCAGGUCUAGUCACAUCCAUCCACAGCCCUCACUUCCCCAGAGAGAAAUCAGAAAUGUUUAG